CCUACGGGAGGCAGCAGUGAGGAAUAUUGGUCAAUGGCCGAGAGGCUGAACCAGCCAAGUCGCGUGAGGGAUGACGGCCCUACGGGUUGUAAACCUCUUUUGUCGGGGAGCAAGACCCGCCACGAGUGGCGGAGCGAGAGUACCCGAAGAAAAAGCAUCGGCUAACUCCGUGCCAGCAGCCGCGGUAAUACGUAGGGAGCAAGCGUUAUCCGGAUUUAUUGGGUGUAAAGGGUGCGUAGACGGGCUAACAAGUUAGUUGUGAAAUCCCUCGGCUCAACUGAGGAACUGCAACUAAAACUAUUAGU
rnacentral:rRNA from 1 species